UACGGAGGGGUGCAAGCGUUAAUCGGAAUUACUGGGCGUAAAGCGUGCGUAGGCGGUUCGUUAAGUCUGUUGUGAAAGCCCCGGGCUCAACCUGGGAAUGGCAAUGGAUACUGGCGAGCUAGAGUGUGUCAGAGGAUGGUGGAAUUCCCGGUGUAGCGGUGAAAUGCGUAGAGAUCGGGAGGAACAUCAGUGGCGAAGGCGGCCAUCUGGGACAACACUGACGCUGAGGCACGAAAGCGUGGGGAGCAAACAGGAUUAGA
rnacentral:rRNA from 1 species